rnacentral:rRNA from 1 species
UACGGAAGGCAGCAGUGGGGAAUAUUGCACAAUGGGCGAAAGCCUGAUGCAGCUAUGCCGCGUGUAUGAAGAAGGCCUUAGGGUUGUAAAGUACUUUCAUCGGGGAGGAAAAAACAAAACUAAUAAUUUUAUUUCUUGACGUUACCCGAAAAAGAAGCACCGGCUAACUCCGUGCCAGCAGCCGCGGUAAUACGGAGGGUGCUAGCGUUAAUCAGAAUUACUGGGCGUAAAGAGCACGUAGGUGGUUUUUUAAGUCAGAUGUGAAAUCCCUGGGCUUAACCUGGAACUGCAUUUUGAAACUGAAAUACUAGAGUAUCGUAGAGGGAGGUAGAAUUCUAGGUGUAGCGGUGAAAUGCGUAGAUAUCUGGAGGAAUACCUGUGGCGAAAGCGGCCUCCUAAACGACUACUGACACUGAGGUGCGAAAGCGUGGGGAGCAAACAGGGAUUAAUACCCG